AGGAGCCGGAUGAGGUGAAAGCUUCACGUCCGGUUUUGAAGACGAGCAGGGCUGGUGACAGCCUUGCUUAGUUUAC
rfam:Oscillatoria nigro-viridis PCC 7112, complete genome.